rnacentral:lncRNA from 1 species
CGCCACCCCGAGUCCCGAUGGAGACCCCGAGUCCCGAUGGAGACCCCGGGAGAUGCGCCCUCGGGGCUCCUCUGCCCAUGGGGUCACUGCAGAGCGUGUGCCUGGAGCUGAGUCUGCGCUCGUGUCCACCUGUGGUUUCUGGCGGUUUGGUGGCGCUGGGGCACCUCUGGGUGAUGCUAGACUAUGAAUUGCCCAAGGCCAUGAGCAGCUGCUGAGCAUCAUCUUGUGAUCACUCCACCAAAAGCCAGGCAGGUAGGCAGUGUGACUGCCAAGGACGUGAAGCCGACAGUCAGCAGCGUUGUUGACCACACAAAGGAAAGGAAGAGAAAGCAGGGAUGAGGCACGAGCCUGAUGAAGCUGUGCGCCUGCCCGGGAAGUUGAAAUCUUCUCCUCCGUGAUUGUCUUUCCUACGACCCGGGUCCUGCAGCUAAGCGUGCUCUCCAGCAGGUCCAGCCAAUAGCCCCACCUCUCCUGAUGAGAUGGGAAGGACUCACGUGUGCCUUGAAAUUCCAGAGCAUCCACCUUCUGCCCAAGCCCCGAGGAGGUGCCGGCGUUGAGACACACAUUUCCCCACAUUUUCUACAGUCAAGAAAAGAGUUGGUCCCCAAGUUUGCAUUUAAUUCUGCAGCCUUGGGUCUUGAGCUAUUAAAGCUUUAUGGAAUUCUUUCCUGGCCUUCCCCGGGGACCUUCCCAUGCUGGCGAGGCUGCGUUUAGAAAUUUAUGCCCUUUCCUUUCUCAGAUUGAAGAUCUCACAUCUUUCCUCGCUGCAUCUUGCACGGGCCGGAGUAGAGCAAAUUACCUUGGCGAAAUAUGUCCUUCCCAACCGUUAACACUUUGGGAAAGAGAGUAAAGCGACAGAUCGGAGCAGAAUAUUUUGAAGAUCGUCCAGAAAUAGUGUGCUACUGGCUAACCUGUUAUGUAGAUCCAGGAGUGUCCGGGUGUUGGCACCGUCUUCCUUCAAUAGCAAAUGAUUUCGGGUGAGGACUCCCCCUGAUGAAGGCCCCGGAGCUGCCCUGGGACAGUGAUGCCAGGAGAGGAGAGCAAGGCGGUGGGAGGGCUGGCAUUGGAAGAAUCGGGGCUUGUCUAUGGGAAUGGGGGGGAUGCGUCAAUCCUACUGCUGGUUACUUUGAAAAUA